UACGGAGGAUGCGAGCGUUAUCCGGAUUUAUUGGGUUUAAAGGGUGCGUAGGCGGCUUGUUAAGCGUGAGGUGAAAGCUCGGGGCUCAACCCCGGAACUGCCUCGCGAACUGGCUGGCUUUAAUGCUCCUGCCGUGGGAGGAAUGUGUGGUGUAGCGGUGAAAUGCAUAGAGAUCACACAGAACACCGAUUUCGAAGGCAUCUCACGAAGGGGUGAUUGACGCUGAGGCACGAAAGCGUGGGGAUCAAAC
rnacentral:rRNA from 1 species